rnacentral:rRNA from 1 species
GAUACGGUGUUCCCGCAAGCCACGUCCAUGAAUUGGCAAGAAAUCAUGCAUGGUCUGGAACUGUUAAAACAAGGGGUCAUAUGGAGAGUGGUCGAUGGUAAAAAUGUUAACAUUUGGAGAGAUAACUGGCCCCCAAGAAUUUCGGGACUAAAAAUUAUAGCUAAAAAGCAUCGAACUAGACUGAAGUGGGUGUCGGAAUUAUUCAUGAGCGGGACGAGAAGAUGGGAUGAAAAUUUGAUUAGGCAUUCAUUCUUUCAUCAUGACGCUGAAGAGAUCCUAAACUUACGCAUUCAGUCUGUGGGAGAAGGUGAUCUAGUUGCUUGGCACUAUGAGAAAAGUGGUAUGUUCUCUGUGAAAAGUGCGUAUAGACUGGCUUUAAAUCUCAAGGACAACAGGGGCGAGACAGGAAUAUCCAGUGCUGCUGUUAAUGAGGAAAGAAGACUGUGGGACGUUAUUUGGAAGGCUAAGGUUCCGCAAAAAAUUAGAAUUUUUGCUUGGAGAGUU